GUAUUCCGCUCCAUAGCGUAUAUUAAAGUUGUUGCAGUUAAAAAGCUCGUAGUUGAAUUUCGGGAUCAAUACGUCGGUCGUGCCUCGGUACGUACUAACGUUAUUGAUUUCUCCCUUCUAACAAAUCGUGAUGUCAUUAAUUUGGUGUUACGAGGAGUUAGGACUGUUACCUUGAAAAAAUUAGAGUGUUUAAAGCAGGCAAUCGCUCGAAUACAUUAGCAUGGAAUAAUGAAAUAGGACGUUCGAACCUAUUUUGUUGGUUUCUAGGAUCGACGUAAUGAUUAAUAGGGAUAGUUGGGGGCAUUAGUAUUCAAUUGUCAGAGGUGAAAUUCUUGGAUUUAUUGAAGACUAACUACUGCGAAAGCAUUUGCCAAGGAUGUUUUCAUUAAUCAAGAACGAAAGUUAGGGGAUCGAAGACGAUCAGAUACCGUCGUAGUCUUAACCAUAAACUAUGCCGACUAGGGAUCGGAUGAUGUUAACUUAAUGACUCAUUCGGCACCUUACGGGAAACA
rnacentral:rRNA from 1 species